UACGCACUAAAGAAGUGCCCUCCGUCAAAGUCCUGUGGCGCAACAAUAAUCGGGAGGAGAUGACUUGGGAGGCGGAGGACGAGAUGAAAAGGAAAUACCCUCACUUGUUCCCGACGUCCACAGUGUACUCAAGAAGCUCUUCAACGUGAUAUAAUUUAUUUGGCGGAAGAAUCACGUUUGCGACAAGUCGGAUUUUCAAGAAAAGAUUCUGUACGAAACGGGACUUGAGUUUGUGGUGAGCAUAAGACGUCCAUAAGGUAUGUAAAGCUUCCC